rnacentral:rRNA from 1 species
ACCGAAGCAAUUCCAGUUAUCAUCGCCGCAUCUAGGUCUCCGAGCAAGCUCCACUCGUCCAACCUCCCCGCCAGAUGAUCGCCUCCAUCGCUACCCCGAUGGGCCGCGCCACCACUACAACCCCCGGUGCCCAGUCCCGGUGGCCGUGUGCCGUUGCGCAGCUCCACCUGGCUCUCCGCUCGCCAGCCGCGCGGAGUGGUAGCAGCGGGCACUGGAUGGGAUGCUUCAGGCCGGCGCCGGUGCCCGCGCCGUCGUCACCAGCGGUUACGGUGGCGGUGAACGAGGGGAGGGGGAAGCGGCCGGAGGCAACGGAGGUGGAUAUGGAGCCGGCACGCGGCGGAGGGGAGGACUUAUGGAGCGUUCAGGCCGAGGCGGAGGUAGCGCAGGGCGGGGAGUACCCGGAGCACCUUGUCAUCAUGGUCAAUGGCCUCGUGGGGAGUGCGGAUGACUGGAAGUUUGCAGCUGAUCAGUUUGUGAGGCGGAUGCCAGACAAAGUGAUCAUCCACCGGAGUCAAUGCAACUCUGCUACACAGACAUUUGACGGAGUUGACUUGAUGGGAGAAAGGUUAGCAAACGAGGUUCUAUCAGUUGUCGAGCAAAGAAGAGGUGUGAAGAAGAUCUCAAUUGUGGCGCACUCUCUGGGUGGUCUUGUUGCCAGAUAUGCUAUAGGAAGGCUUUACGAAUGUAGUAACAGAACUAAAUGUUCCAUUGGGAACAACAGAGAGCAAGUUGAAUGCUUGGAGGGUCUCAUUGCCGGCUUAAAACCUAUGAACUUUAUAACCUUUGCAUCACCACAUCUGGGUUCAAGUGGAAACAAACAGCUCCCCUUUCUAUGUGGCUUGCAUUUUCUGGAGCGAAGAGCAUCAGAAACUGCACAUUUGAUUGUUGGAAGAACUGGAAAGCAUUUAUUCCUUACAGACAGUGAUGAUGGUAGGCGUCCACUCCUUCUUCAAAUGGUUCAGGAUCAUGAUGAUAUAAAAUUCAGAUCCGGAUUGCGCUCUUUCAAACGACGUGUGGCAUAUGCGAAUGCCAAUUUUGACCAUAUGGUGGGUUGGAGAACAUCGUCAAUCCGGCGUCAACACGAGUUGCCAAAACAUCGCCUUCUUGUUCGUGAUGAGAAGUAUCCACAUAUAGUCCAUGUUGAUAGAGGAAUUAUGGACAGAAAUGAAACCGAAGUGAGUGCUAAUCUCUGUGGCCCAGAAGAGGAGAUGAUAAGAGGCCUAACACAACUGCAGUGGGAACGUGUUGAUGUGAGCUUCCAGAAAAGUAGUCAAAGAUUGGUUGCGCAUAACACCAUCCAGGUAAAGAGCUAUUGGCUUAACUCAGAUGGGGCAGACGUUAUCAGUCACAUGAUGGAUAAUUUCCUCGUCUAGUUCAUGAACUCCACAGGGUGCACUGUGCCAAUAUUCGUGUCUGAGUUUGGUUACAAGUGAUAGUUCAAUUUUGGGUAGGCGGUUUGACCUUGUAGGUUGUACAAUUUUCAUUCUACACUGAGAUAUCAAAAUUGAUUCUUUAGGUUUCUUGUGCUGCAGAUGUUAGACUACAACUUUUUUCUUUUAUCCACAAUCCGCCUCUACCAUUUUAUUGUAUAGUGAAGUUGAACACUAUUGUGUGCUACUUCCUCCAUUCCAAAUUAAUAGAAGUUCUAGCUUUGUCUUAUGU